UUUCUUUUUUUUCAUUGAAAGAAAAAUCUAUCGGUUGUAAACAUAAACAUAUGUCUCGUCAGACAUUAAUAGAGACAUUUUCCAAAAAUGCUGCUUCAAAUACAGCUGCAAGUGAAAAAGAAACAGAACUGAACGUGCCUGAAGAUCCACAAGAUGUCAAAACUACAAAGCCUUCAACAACUCAGUAAGCUGAAAGUGCAGAUUCGAGUAAUUGUGUUGUGGCAGAUUCCAACCCCUCUGGAGAAUUUAGAACUGGCUGGAUCCCUGUGUUGUGCUGUUUACUGCACUUCUCCUCAGGUGUCGUGGGCUAGUUGAUGAAACACAAAGGAUAGAAGUUGCC